rnacentral:rRNA from 1 species
AAUGGUUGGACGAAAUAUAUACUGUUUCAUUUAAAAUUUAAAUAGAAUUUUAUUUUUUAGUUAAAAAGCUAAAAUAUAGUCAAAAGACGAGAAGACCCUAUAAAUCUUAAUUGUGUAUAAAUUUUUAAUUUGGAUUGAUUUUUUUAAGUAUAAAUUUAUAUAUAAUUUCAUUGGGGUGAUGUUAAAAUUUAAUUAACUUUUAAUAAUUUUAUUCAUUUAUUUAUGAUUAAGUGAUCCAUUAUUAGUGAUUAUAAAUUUAAGUUACUUUAGGGAUAACAGCGUAAUUUUUUUGGAGAGUUCUUAUCGAUAAAAAAGUUUGCGACCUCGAUGUUGGAUUAAGAUUCAUAUUUAAAUGUAGAAGUUUAAAUAUUAAGUCUGUUCGACUUUUUAUUCUUACAUGAUCUGAGUUCAAACCGGUGUAAGCCAGGUUGGUUUCUAUCUUUGAUUUAAUAAAAUAUUUUAGUACGAAAGGAAUUAGUAUUUAUUUUUUAGAAAUUUAAUUAAUGAAUAAAUUUAAUUA